rnacentral:rRNA from 1 species
GAUGAACGCUGGCGGCGUGCCUAAUACAUGCAAGUCGAGCGAAUGGAUUAAGAGCUUGCUCUUAUGAAGUUAGCGGCGGACGGGUGAGUAACACGUGGGUAACCUGCCCAUAAGACUGGGAUAACUCCGGGAAACCGGGGCUAAUACCGGAUAACAUUUUGAACCGCAUGGUUCGAAAUUGAAAGGCGGCUUCGGCUGUCACUUAUGGAUGGACCCGCGUCGCAUUAGCUAGUUGGUGAGGUAACGGCUCACCAAGGCAACGAUGCGUAGCCGACCUGAGGGGGUGAUCGGCCACACGGGGACUGAGACACGGCCCGGACUCCUACGGGAGGCAGCAGUAGGGAAUCUUCCGCAAUGGACGAAAGUCUGACGGAGCAACGCCGCGUGAGUGAUGAAGGCUUUCGGGUCGUAAAACUCUGUUGUUAGGGAAGAACAAGUGCUAGUUGAAUAAGCUGGCACCUUGACGGUACCUAACCAGAAAGCCACGGCUAACUACGUGCCAGCCGCCGCCGUAA